rnacentral:rRNA from 1 species
AUGCAGUCGACGGUAGCAGGAAGGAAGCUUGCUUUCUUUGCUGACGAGUGGCGGACGGGUGAGUAAUGCUUGGGAAUCUGGCUUAUGGAGGGGGAUAACUGCGGGAAACUGCAGCUAAUACCGCGUAAAGUCUUUGGACUAAAGGGGGCGUUUGCUCUUGCCAUAAGAUGAGCCCAAGUGGGAUUAGGUAGUUGGUGGGGUAAUGGCUCACCAAGCCGUCGAUCUCUAGCUGGUCUGAGAGGAUGACCAGCCACACCGGGACUGAGACACGGCCCGGACUCCUACGGGAGGCAGCAGUGGGGAAUAUUGCGCAAUGGGGGGAACCCUGACGCAGCCAUGCCGCGUGAAUGAAGAAGGCCUUCGGGUUGUAAAGUUCUUUCGGUGAUGAGGAAGGCAGUUUGGUUAAUAGCCAAGCUGAUUGACGUUAGUCACAGAAGAAGCACCGGCUAACUCCGUGCCAGCAGCCGCGGUAAUACGGAGGGUGCGAGCGUUAAUCGGAAUAACUGGGCGUAAAGGGCACGCAGGCGGAUUUUUAAGUGAGGUGUGAAAGCCCCGGGCUUAACCUGGGAAUUGCAUUUCAGACUGGGAAUCUAGAGUACUUUAGGGAGGGGUAGAAUUCCACGUGUAGCGGUGAAAUGCGUAGAGAUGUGGAGGAAUACCGAAGGCGAAGGCAGCCCCUUGGGAAUGUACUGACGCUCAUGUGCGAAAGCGUGGGGAGCAAACAGGAUUAGAUACCCUGGUAGUCCACGCUGUAAACGCUGUCGAUUUGGGGGUUGGGGUUUAACUCUGGCGCCCGUAGCUAACGUGAUAAAUCGACCGUCUGGGGAGUACGGCCGCAAGGUUAAAACUCAAAUGAAUUGACGGGGGCCCGCACAAGCGGUGGAGCAUGUGGUUUAAUUCGAUGCAACGCGAAGAACCUUACCUACUCUUGACAUCCAGAGAAUCCUGUAGAGAUACGGGAGUGCCUUAGGGAGCUUUGAGACAGGUGCUGCAUGGCUGUCGUCAGCUCGUGUUGUGAAAUGUUGGGUUAAGUCCCGCAACGAGCGCAACCCUUAUCCUUUGUUGCCAGCGAUACGGUCGGGAACU